AGGAGCCGUAUGCGGUAGCGCCGCACGUACGGAUCUGAGCGGGGGGGCGCUGGGAAACCAGCGUCCCUACCGCGAC
rnacentral:misc_RNA from 1 species